rnacentral:rRNA from 1 species
AUACGGAGGGUGCAAGCGUUAUCCGGAUUCAUUGGGUUUAAAGGGUGCGCAGGCGGACUUGUAAGUCAGUGGUGAAAUCCCGGGGCUCAACCUCGGAACUGCCAUUGAUACUGCAAGUCUUGAGUUUGGUUGAAGUGGGCGGAAUGUAGCAUGUAGCGGUGAAAUGCAUAGAUAUGCUACAGAACACCGAUCGCGAAGGCAGCUCACUAAACCAACACCGACGCUCAGGCACGAAAGCGUGGGGAGCGAACAGGAUUAGAAACCCCAGUAGUCC